rnacentral:rRNA from 1 species
GCGAAAGCAGGUCAUAGUGAUCCGGUGGUUCUGAAUGGAAGGGCCAUCGCUCAACGGAUAAAAGGUACUCCGGGGAUAACAGGCUGAUACCGCCCAAGAGUUCAUAUCGACGGCGGUGUUUGGCACCUCGAUGUCGGCUCAUCACAUCCUGGGGCUGAAGUAGGUCCCAAGGGUAUGGCUGUUCGCCAUUUAAAGUGGUACGCGAGCUGGGUUUAGAACGUCGUGAGACAGUUCGGUCCCUAUCUGCCGUGGGCGCUGGAGAACUGAGGGGGGCUGCUCCUAGUACGAGAGGACCGGAGUGGACGCAUCACUGGUGUUCGGGUUGUCAUGCCAAUGGCACUGCCCGGUAGCUAAAUGCGGAAGAGAUAAGUGCUGAAAGCAUCUAAGCACGAAACUUGCCCCG